UUUCGGCAUGGCUGGAGCCUGGUACAGCGCUUGUAAUGGAGCUCAGGGUGAGGCCCCGGGUACCAUGAGGCUAGAGGUGAAAUUCUGAGACCCUCAUGUGACCAACUAAGGCGAAAGCUGUCGUGGGCCACCACAAGCUCGUCUAUCAGGGACGAAAGUUGGGGGAUCGAAGACGAUUAGAUACCGUCGUAGUCCCAACUAUAAACGAUACCAACCGAGUAUUUGGGAAGACACUAUCCCAGCGAUCUUCUCAGAACUCAAGGGAAACCUUAAGUCUUUGGGUUCUGGGGGGAGUAUAGUCGCAAGACCGAAACUUAAAGGAAUUGACGGAAAGGCACCACCAGGAGUGGAGUCUGCGGCUUAAUUCGACUCAACACGGGGAAACUCACCAGGUCAGGACACAAGUUUGAUUGACAGGUUAAUAGCCCUUUCUUGAUUGUGUGGUGGGUAGUGCAUGGCCGUUUCCAGUUCGUGGAGUGAUCUGUCUUGUUAUCCG
rnacentral:rRNA from 1 species